GUAUAACGUAGUGUAGUUGUAGUGUAGAUUUUUUCUGACAACCCAGACCACGCAAGUGUAUUGUUUAAUCUAUGAGAAAAUAUAUAUCUUUAAAUUAAUUAUUAGAUAUAUAAUACUUACUCCCUUGCUGAGACAAAAAAAAUAAAUAAAAAUAAAAUUAACCUACAUAACACACUUUCUCACGUAGGUUAAUGUUCAUUUACUUUUUUUGUUGAGGUAGAACAUGUAGUUAACUAACAUUUGUCAAACUAACACACUGCUGUUAUAUUACACCAAUUUGUUUGUGUUGACAUACACUCAUAUCGACCUUAAUCUAAUAAAAAAAAAAUGUUUAAGUUUCAUGUUUGCUAAUGUUUUAAACACGUAUUUAACACACCUCUUCAUCGUGUUUGCGCUUGGUUGGUGUGAUAAAGUUCUGGAGACUUAUAAUAAUACUGUACUGCCUCCCUCUACUGGACGCAUCAAGAGCAACAGGGGUGUAAAACUGCCCAGGCCAUAAAACUGCUUGCGCCGUAGAUCUGUCUGGAUCCAAGUCUGCAGUCUUCCCCACCUCGAAUAUUUCGUGCAACAGCGCCCCCUGGUCAGUGAUCACAAUUUUCGGCACAACACCGCCCUUCAGAAACGAAAGUGAAAGUGUUUAGUUGUUGUGUUGCAGUUUUAAACAACCAGAAUUCAUCAUUUACCAACACAGAACAGCUUUAAAUCUUUAAUGUCUGGACUAAACCUGUAAGCUUUAUGUGAAUGUGUGUAUGCUGUUAUUAUAAUCAAACGGAUGACGCUGUGAUUCUUCAUUAGUUUACUCGUGAUGAGCUUCUGGAUUUGAGUGUCUCAGCUGCUGAUCUAUUCCUGCAUUCAGCUGAAUUAUGAAGGCUGAUCAAUGACUGGAGAUCUGUGAUUGUUCAUCAGUUUCUGCUGGAGAUCAAACUCUUCAGAUCCAUCAUGGAGGACACACACACACAUGAUGAUCUGGAUUUGUCUACAGGAUGCAGUUCAGUUCAUCAGAAGAGAGCAGAAGCAGAGCCCAGCUGUGUGUCUAUGAAGAGUGACGCGUCUAUGGAUCACCCAUUGUUUUUCAAGAGUGGAAACACAGGAGCUGCUGUCAGUCUGGACUGGAGCUCUGCAGACAAACCCCCGAUGAGUGACCUUCUGCAGACUGAGUGAUGAGGAGGAGGAUAAGGGGAGCUGCUGGAGGCGGGAAUAACAGUCAGCUGACACAGUGCAGUUUAUACUGCUGCUUAUAUAGUCAUGUGAUGAUGAUUGACACGCCUGCAUGAUUAAGCUCCUCCCACACCUACACUGUGGACUUCAUUCAGUGAUUUGAUGAUUAGUUUCAGCUCUAAUCUGCUCUAAUAGUGCUGCAUUUCUGUUGGGCUUUCUCUACUAGAAAUGAGCCUUGAUCUGUGUUUGCUGAUAUUUUCCACAUUCAGACAGUUUCUGUUCAAAUAUAAAGGAAAUUAAUUUAAGUGUUU